rnacentral:lncRNA from 1 species
CUCGACAAAGGCUACGACGUCCACGGCCUGAUCCGACGGUCCUCCAACUUCAACACCCAGCGCAUCAACCACAUCUACAUCGACCCCCACAACGCCCACAAGGCCCGCAUGAAGCUCCACUACGCCGACCUCACCGACUCCUCCUCCCUCCGCCGCUGGCUCGACAUAAUCGCCCCCAACGAGGUCUACAACCUCGCCGCCCAAUCGCACGUCGCCGUCUCGUUUGAGAUCCCCGAUUACACCGCCGACGUCGUUGCCACCGGCGCCCUCCGCCUCCUCGAGGCUGUCCGCUCCCACAUCGCCGCCACCGGCCGCACCGACAUUAAGUACUACCAAGCCGGGUCGUCCGAGAUGUUCGGGGCCACCCCGCCUCCUCAGUCCGAAACGACGCCGUUCCACCCCCGAUCCC